CCUACGGGUGGCAGCAGUGGGGAAUAUUGCACAAUGGGGGAAACCCUGAUGCAGCGACGCCGCGUGAGUGAAGAAGUAAUUCGUUAUGUAAAGCUCUAUCUGCAGGGAAGAAAAUGACGGUACCUGAGUAAGAAGCCCCGGCUAACUACGUGCCAGCAGCCGCGGUAAUACGUAGGGGGCAGGCGUUAUCCGGAGUUACUGGGUGUAAAGGGAGCGUAGACGGCAGUGCAAGUCUGGAGUGAAAGGCGGGGGCUCAACCCCCGGACUGCUUUGGAAACUGUGCGUCUGGAGUGCAGGAGAGGUAAGUGGAAUGUAUGGUGUAGCGGUGAAAUGCGUAGAGAUUAGGCGGAACACCAGUGGCGAAGGCGGCUUACUGGACUGUAACUGACGUUGAGGCUCGAAAGCGUGGGGAGCAAACAGGAUUAGAUACCCCUGUAGUC
rnacentral:rRNA from 1 species